rnacentral:rRNA from 1 species
CGGGGAAUCUUGCGCAAUGGGCGAAAGCCUGACGCAGCAACGCCGCGUGGGGGAUGAAGGCCUUCGGGUUGUAAACCCCUUUCAGCAGGGACGAAAUUGACGGUACCUGCAGAAGAAGCACCGGCCAACUACGUGCCAGCAGCCGCGGUAAUACGUAGGGUGCAAGCGUUGUCCGGAUUCAUUGGGCGUAAAGGGCUAGUAGGCGGCUUGGCAAGUCGGAUGUGAAAACUCCAGGCUCAACCUGGAGACGCCACCCGAUACUGCCAUGGCUAGAGUUCGGUAGGGGAUCACGGAAUACCUGGCGUAGCGGUGAAAUGCAUAGAUAUCAGGUGGAACACCGGUGGCGAAGGCGGUGAUCUGGGCCGACACUGACGCUGAAUAGCGAAAGCGUGGGUAGCAAACAGG